rnacentral:siRNA from 1 species
CAAACAUUGGAACGAUGCCCUU